ensembl:snRNA U6 U6 spliceosomal RNA
GUGCUCACUUUGGCAGCACAUAUACUAAAAUUGGACUGAUACAGAGAAGAUUAGCAUGGACCCUGCGCAACAGUGACAUGCAAAUUUGUGAAGCAUUACAUAUUAAA